rnacentral:rRNA from 1 species
UGCGCCUACGGGGGGCAGCAGUGGGGAAUAUUGCACAAUGGGGGAAACCCUGAUGCAGCAACGCCGCGUGAGUGAAGAAGUAUUUCGGUAUGUAAAGCUCUAUCAGCAGGGAAGAAGAAAGACGGUACCUGACUAAGAAGCCCCGGCUAACUACGUGCCAGCAGCCGCGGUAAUACGUAGGGGGCAAGCGUUAUCCGGAUUUACUGGGUGUAAAGGGAGCGUAGACGGCAGUGCAAGUCUGAAGUGAAAGCCUGGGGCUCAACCCCGGAACUGCUUUGGAAACUGUGCUGCUUGAGUACCGGAGG